rnacentral:rRNA from 1 species
ACGCACGCUGGCGGCGUGCUUAACACAUGCAAGUCGAACGGAAAGGCCCUGCUUUUGUGGGGUGCUCGAGUGGCGAACGGGCGAGUAACACGUGAGUAACCUGCCCUUGACUUUGGGAUAACUUCAGGAAACUGGGGCUAAUACCGGAUAGGAGCUCCUGCUGCAUGGUGGGGGUUGGAAAGUUUCGGCGGUUGGGGAUGGACUCGCGGCUUAUCAGCUUGUUGGUGGGGUAGUGGCUUACCAAGGCUUUGACGGGUAGCCGGCCUGAGAGGGUGACCGGCCACAUUGGGACUGAGAUACGGCCCAGACUCCUACGGGAGGCAGCAGUGGGGAAUAUUGCACAAUGGGCGGAAGCCUGAUGCAGCAACGCCGCGUGCGGGAUGACGGCCUUCGGGUUGUAAACCGCUUUCGCCUGUGACGAAGCGUGAGUGACGGUAAUGGGUAAAGAAGCACCGGCUAACUACGUG